UCACCCCAAAAAAAUUUAAAAAAUAAAAAUAAAAAAUGCAAGAUCCAAAAAUUUCAGCAUAAAUAAAGCCAAAAAAAAUAGAACACUUUUCGUGUGAAAAAGAAGCUCAAGAAUUGCUCUUUUGAAACCUAACUUCUCUUCUUUGAUGCUUGAGAGGAUAUAACUGCUCAUGGUGAAGAUUUUUCUUAAAGGCUCACACAAAAUUCUGUACUUAAUUUCUCUCUAUUUCUCUUUCUCAAAGAUAUUCAAUAAAUACUCCAAAAAAUGAUGAAUUUUUCUUUUUAAUCCUCUUCACUUCUUCCUAAAUGAUUUUCUAGCCUUUGCAAGCUUAGUGGUGCUGGAGAGUGAAUUUUGACCGUUGGAAGGCUUGAACUAGUCAUUAGAGUGAGAAUAUGACCAUUGAAGAAAUAAAAAAAAAUGAGUCAUUACAGCUUUCUUAUAUCAGGAGUUGACUCGAAUUCCUCAAGAGUCAACUCGAGCUACCCACAACUCGACUCGACCUCAAGGUCUAAAAAUUUUACCUUCUGUCUUUCUUAAGAGAGUCAACUCGUCAUCUUUAUGAGUCAACUCGAUCUAUCUAGAGAUCAACUCGAUCAUUUCAGAGGUCAACUUGAGCAAAAGUUUCAAAAAUCCAAUCUUCUAUCUUUAUCGAGAGAGUCGGCUCUUAUUUUUCUUUGAUUUUCAACCUAUUUCUAUCAGAGGUCGGCUCCUACGUGUCUAGGAUCGACUCCACUAAGUCAAAAAUUUGAAGAUUCAUCUUAAAUUUUUUUGACUUCUUUAAGAGGAUUUAUCCUAUAGAUAAAUUCUUCAUUUUGAGUAUCUGAAAAAUCCUACAUCC
rnacentral:lncRNA from 1 species